UAGUAAGAUCCCUGAAAGAUGAUCAGGUUGAUAGGUCAGAGGUGGAAGCAUGGUGACAUGUGGAGCUGACUGAUACUAAUAGAUCGAGGACUUAACCAA
rnacentral:rRNA from 1 species